GUUACAACUGUAACAUAAAAAUGUAUAACAAAGCCAAAAUUAUACAUAUAGAUGUAAUUACUAUUCUUCUUAAUCUCUAACAUGUAAUUUAAGAAAAUCUGUCUGUUUUAAAGGUUCGCACAGAAAAGGAAAUAUGAAGAUCCCAUCAUAAUAGCAGAUAAGGAUAAGGAGGAGGCAAAGAGGCCCAGGACAAUCCCUCCUCAACAGUCGGAACCUGUUGACCUGACCAAAGAGGGGAUUCUGGAGGGCAUCAAUGUUUCUCUAAAAUAAACAUGUUACACUCUU